rnacentral:piRNA from 1 species
GGCUGGAAGGGCACCGAGUGUGAUGU